UACGGAGGGUGCAAGCGUUAUCCGGAUUCACUGGGUUUAAAGGGUGCGUAGGCGGAUUGGUAAGUCCGUGGUGAAAUCCCCGAGCUUAACUUGGGAACUGCCGUGGAUACUAUCAGUCUUGAAUAUCGUGAAGGUAAGCGGAAUAUGUCAUGUAGCGGUGAAAUGCUUAGAUAUGACAUAGAACACCAAUUGCGUAGGCAGCUUACUACUAAUAUAUUGACGCUGAUGGACGAAAGCGUGGGGAGCGAACAGG
rnacentral:rRNA from 1 species